rnacentral:rRNA from 1 species
CGGCGGACGGGUGAGUAACACGUGGAUAACCUACCUAUAAGACUGGGAUAACUUCGGGAAACCGGAGCUAAUACCGGAUAAUAUAUUGAACCGCAUGGUUCAAUAGUGAAAGACGGUUUUGCUGUCACUUAUAGAUGGAUCCGCGCCGCAUUAGCUAGUUGGUAAGGUAACGGCUUACCAAGGCGACGAUGCGUAGCCGACCUGAGAGGGUGAUCGGCCACACCGGAACUGAGACACGGUCCAG